rnacentral:rRNA from 1 species
GUCUACGGCCAUGCCACCCUGAACAAGCCCGAUCCCGUCUGAUCUCGGAAGCUAAGCAGGGUCGGGCCUGGUUAGUACUUGGAUGGGAGAUCACCUAGGAAGACCAGGUGCUGUAGGUG